rnacentral:sRNA from 1 species
UGAUUCUGUACUCGAACAUUCAUCGUGGC